rnacentral:rRNA from 1 species
GAUGAACGCUGGCGGCGUGCCUAAUACAUGCAAGUCGAGCGAACGGACGAGAAGCUUGCUUCUCUGAUGUUAGCGGCGGCCGGGGGAGUAACACGUGGAUAACCUACCUAUAAGACAGGGAUAACUUCGGGAACCCGGAGCUAAUACCAGAUAAUAUUUUUAACCGCAUGGAUCAAAAGUGAAAGACGGUCUUGCUGUCACUAAUAGAUGGAUCCGCGCUGCAUUAGCUAGUUGGUAAGGUAACGGCUUACCAAGGCAACGAUGCAUAGCCGACCUGAGAGGGUGAUCCGCCACACUGGAACUGACACACGGUCCAGACUCCUACGGGAGGCAGCAGUAGGGAAUCUUCCGCAAUGGGCGAAAGCCUGACGGAGCAACGCCGCGUGAGUGAUGAAGGUCUUCGGAUCGUAAAACUCUGUUAUUAGGGAAGAACAUAUGUGUAAGUAACUGUGCACAUCUUGACGGUACCUAAUCAGAAAGCCACGGCUAACUACGUG